AUUCUUUUUGAUGAUACAAAUAACCCUGUAAACAAAUCGCACACUGUUUUAUCAAUUUCUUCAUUUGUCUUCUACUCUUCUGCCGGCAGAGCUGUGUUGUGAAAACGAAAGUAAAACUGUGGGUUUUAGUUGUGAAUUUUGCUUUCAGCUGGAAUUUUCUAUUAAAUCUCUUUGUUUUCUCUCUCAAUCUGUUGUUCGUUUUCACAAACCCUAGAAAUUGAUAGAGAUGGCAUCGGAUCAGUUAUAAAAUUUAUUUGGAGGAGAUUCAGAACUUCUAUAGUAGUUGAAUCUCCUUUGCGUGAAAAAUCACCGGAGAGAGUCGUGGAGGAUGGAGGUUGUUAUUUCAAAUUAGAAAUAAGCAGGUGAUACCAUGAAGAGUUUUGAUCAAAUGGGUGUUUCUAGAUCAAUUGAUGCACUUGAGAAAAUCAAAAUCCAGUAAUGGAAGUGACCGUGUUUAGUGACCAACUGCAGAUUCAACAAAUCCUCGAUUUUACUUGAUAAAACUACCCUUGUUGCACCUUACAAGGCAGUAUUACAUGCUCAUUUUAUUGUCGCUCUGGAUUGUGAGAUUGUUGAUCUAGUGCACCCAAUUGACUCAAAAAUUAUUGGGGAGAAGAUUACUUUUGUUAAAAAUGGUGUUGUGGUUGUAUCCCGAAUUCAGGAUGUAUGCAUUGAAGGACUAUACAAUGUUGGGAUGUUCCUUUUAAGCAAAAGAGGAGUGUAUGUAACACAAGAAUAUUUUGAGAUAUUGGCGGCCAAGGUAAUGAAGAAGGAAACAUACAAGAACAUGCCACUCAUAGUUUGGAAGUUGAAAUUAAAGUCAUCAACGCUUAGAUUUGGGACACAUCUGGUCAAAAAAACAUCAACGCUAGAGUACAAUAAAAUCCUUGUGAAGAUGCCUGGGGUUGUGACUUAUGGGGAAAUUAGGCCAUAUACCAGCGGCUAAAGUUGGAACCAUACGCCGUGCGUAAUACGUGUAAGUACGUAGGUAUUGAAGGAAAGAGUCAUCGACUGUAGGAAGGCACUACAACAUGCCUGAAUACUACGAUUCACCAGGGUAUCAACCAUGUCGGAGAAGAUUGUGUAUGCUAUUCUGAACCAUGGUGAGCGUUUAGUCAUAUUUUGGUAGAUGUGUGCAUAUUUUCUUCACUUAAAUUCUUUGUGAUGAAUGAAGGGAUUGUUUUGUUUGAAUAAUGCGCUACUUUGUUAUUGUAUAUACUUGUACGCUGUUAAUCUCUAAGCGUGACCUGUUCUGUAGACCCAAAUAGAUUGUGUCUCUUUCGGUAACUAACUAAGUUUUUACUUUGAUUGUUUCU